rnacentral:rRNA from 1 species
UACGUAGGGGGCAAGCGUUGUCCGGAUUUAUUGGGCGUAAAGAGCGUGUAGGCGGUCUGGUAGGUCCGUUGUGAAAACUCGAGGCUCAACCUCGAGACGUCGGUUGAAACCGUCUGGCUAGAGUCCGGAAGAGGAGAGUGGAAUUCCUGGUGUAGCGGUGAAAUGCGCAGAUAUCAGGAAGAACACCCGUGGCUAAGGCGGCUCUCUAGUACGGUACUGACGCUGAGACGCGAAAGCGUGGGGAGCGAACAGG